GGAAGGGCUGUGGCUCAGUGCUAGAGCAUCUGCUUUGCAUGCAGAAGGUCCCAAGUUCAAUCCCCGAUAUCUCCA